rnacentral:rRNA from 1 species
UUGUUGCUGGUUCUCUAGGGAGCAUGUGCACACUUGUCAUCUUUAUAUCUCCACCUGUGCACCCUUUGUAGACCUGAAUAUCUCUCUGAAUGCUAGCAUUCAGGCUUGAGGAUUGACUUCUUAGUCUCUCCUGUUAUUUUCAGGCCUAUGUUUCUUCAUAUACCCAUGUAUGUUAUAGAAUGUAAUAAACGGGCCUUUGUGCCUAUAAAUCUAUACAACUUUCAGCAACGGAUCUCUUGGCUCUCGCAUCGAUGAAGAACGCAGCGAAAUGCGAUAAGUAAUGUGAAUUGCAGAAUUCAGUGAAUCAUCGAAUCUUUGAACGCACCUUGCACUCCUUGGUAUUCCGAGGAGUAUGCCUGUUUGAGUGUCAUUAAUAUAUCAACCUCUUUAGCUUUUGCUUUAGAGUGUUGGAUGUGGGGGUCAUUUUUGCUGGCUUUUCUCAAGUCAGCUCCCCUGAAAUGCAUUAGUGGAACAAAUUGUUGACCGUUUAUUGGUGUGAUAACUAUCUACGCUAUUAACGUGAAGCAAGUUCAGCUUCUAACAGUCCAUUGACUGGAUAAAUUCAUUAAUGUGACCUCAAAUCAGGUAGGACUACCCGCUGAACUUAA